rnacentral:tRNA from 1 species
GGAAAAGUUUCCAUUGGUAGGGUAGGGUACUUGCUAUGUACUGUGUUUUUUACACUUAGGUGUUCGAAUCACCUCUUUUCCG